rnacentral:misc_RNA from 1 species
UGGGAACUCGUUCAUGCUGAGGACCUGAGUCAUAUCUUCGAUAUUUUUAAUUGCAUCGUCUACGUCUCUUUGUCCAGGUUGAUGCGAAGUAGCAGCCACUCCGCGAACAGCAUAAGUUAAAUCUUUAAGGGCAGACGCUGUCUUUCGAGCUGCGCUUCCAGUGUAAUUCUCAUUUCCUUGCUUAGCAGCGGAUAGAAGCUGAGCCAUAGCGAAUCCGACGUUCUUCGAGGUAGCACCUAGUCGGAGAGCAGUGGACUCUGGUGUCUCGUCGG